rnacentral:lncRNA from 1 species
UUGUAAACGGUUUUGAAACUACCCUUCUACUAAGAUUAUGGAUGGAUGUACAGUCUUCUUAUACUUUUGUCAACAAUCUAGGCCAGACGCAUCAAAAACAAUCUGAGAAGAGAAAUUUUGAUGAUGUACAAAUGGCCAUUUUGUGGUAGUUUUAAUCAGGUAGUGUUUUGUGGUAGUGCAAUCAGGUAGUGUUCUGUGGUAGUGUAAUCAGGUAGUUUAACUACUGUUUAGGGGACCAGACGCAGGAAAAUUGACAUGACUUGUGAGUUGUGACUUCCCGAUAAAAAAACGUUCACUCAUUUCAAGUGUCCACAAUACUUUUAUUUUUAUGAAAAUAA